rnacentral:rRNA from 1 species
CGUGCAGGCGGUUUCGUAAGUCGGACGUGAAAGCUCCUGGCUUAACUGGGAGAGGUCGUUCGAUACUGCGAGGCUUGAGGUCGGGAGAGGGACGUGGAAUUCCCGGUGUAGUGGUGGAAUGCGUAGAUAUCGGGAGGAACACCAGUGGCGAAGGCGGCGUCCUGGCCCGCACCUGACGCUGAGACGCGAAAGCGUGGGUAGCGAACG